CGAAAAGAACCCCGGCGAGGGGAGUGAAAAAGAACCUGAAACCGUGUACGUACAAGCAGUGGGAGCACAGAGCAAUCUGUGUGACUGCGUACCUUUUGUAUAAUGGGUCAGCGACUUAUAUUCUGUAGCAAGGUUAACCGAAUAGGGGAGCCGAAGGGAAACCGAGUCUUAACUGGGCGUUAAGUUGCAGGGUAUAGACCCGAAACCCGGUGAUCUAGCCAUGGGCAGGUUGAAGGUUGGGUAACACUAACUGGAGGACCGAACCGACUAAUGUUGAAAAAUUAGCGGAUGACUUGUGGCUGGGGGUGAAAGGCCAAUCAAACCGGGAGAUAGCUGGUUCUCCCCGAAAGCUAUUUAGGUAGCGCCUCGUGAAUUCAUCUCCGGGGGUAGAGCACUGUUUCGGCAAGGGGGUCAUCCCGACUUACCAACCCGAUGCAAACUGCGAAUACCGGAGAAUGUUAUCACGGGAGACACACGGCGGGUGCUAACGUCCGUCGUGAAGAGGGAAACAACCCAGACCGCCAGCUAAGGUCCCAAAGUCAUGGUUAAGUGGGAAACGAUGUGGGAAGGCCCAGACAGCCAGGAUGUUGGCUUAGAAGCAGCCAUCAUUUAAAGAAAGCGUAAUAGCUCACUGGUCGAGUCGGCCUGCGCGGAAGAUGUAACGGGGCUAAACCAUGCACCGAAGCUGCGGCAGCGACACUGUGUGUUGUUGGGUAGGGGAGCGU
rnacentral:rRNA from 1 species